UAAAUUUAGUGCUUGGUUAAUUUUGGAAGGCUCCAGAUGCUUUAGUAUUAAAUUUUAAACAAUGCAUAGUUAAUUGCUCAGGGUGAAUUAAUCGUAUUAUUUUUAAUGUAGAACAGAGAAAUGAAAAACAUGCUUGAUAUUCAGGAGGCAAAAACUUCAGCAAAAAAGGAUGAAUUUGAAAAAUUGAAUAUAAAAUUAAUGGACCUACAACACUUGAUAAGUCUGAAUUCAACAGCUAUAUGUAACGAGAGAAAUCUCAUAGCAAAUCUGAAAAAAGAGAGUGAGCAUUUGGAAGAAAAAAUUGAAUUUAAAAAGAGAGACAUGCUGGGAGUCUUGGAAAAGAAAAAUCAGCUUGAUUCUGAAUUACUGCUUUUACAAUCAAAAAUUGCACAAGAAAAAGAAGAUUUUGAUAAGGAACUUGAAAAGGCUAAGGAGUAUCUACAGAAUGCUGAAUGCCUGAAUAAAAAACUUAAAUCAGAAAAUAAAGCUGCGCGCCAGAAGUUUGAACAAGCACUGAAAGAAGAAAAACACUGGGCUAGAAAAAAGGACGAGAUGGAGGCAAAGUAGGUUUCAACUGUCAGCUUUUGGAUACAGAUAUUUUAAGUUUGUCAUUUUAUGACUAAUGCUUUUCUUGCUACAUUGUGAGAUCAUGUUUCUGAUGAAGAAUCUAACAUUUUUUUGUUUUCUUCUGGUAGAUUGAAGCGAUUAUCCACUUUGUUGAAUGAAAAGCUUGAAUUUCUGGCAAAUCUUGUGG
rnacentral:lncRNA from 1 species